rnacentral:rRNA from 1 species
UCCAGCCUGCCCAGUGACUAAUASUUWWACGGCCGCGGUACCCUAACCGUGCAAAGGUAGCACAAUCACUUGUCCUCUAAAUCAGGACUAGUAUGAACGGCCCCACGAGAGCUAUGCUGUCUCCCCCCACUAAUCAGUGAAACUGAUCCCCUCGUGAAGAAGCGAGGAUACCCCCAUAAGACGAGAAGACCCCAUGGAACUUUAAACUAGCACCACCUCUCUUCCUAUACCACACCAACAGAACCACAUGACUGCUAGUCUUUCGGCUGGGGCAGCCACGGGGAAAAACAGAACCCCCGAGAUGAAAAGAACCCCCUCUAAUCCAAGAACUACCAUUCAAAGAAUCAACAAAUGACAUUAUUGACCCAACAAUUGACCAACGAACCAAGCUACCCUGGGGAUAACAGCGCAAUCCAUUUCAAGAGACCUCAUCAACAAAUGGGCUUACGACCUCGAUGUUGGAUCAGGGCAUCCCGGUGGUGCAGCCGCUACCAAAGGUUCGUUUGUUCAACGAUUAAAACCCUACGUGAUCUGAGU